rnacentral:lncRNA from 1 species
UAGCUAGUGUCGGAGUUUCCGACAUUUUGUAUUCGGGUUGAAUACAAAAGGAUAGUGGAUUGAAAUUCCCAAGUAGGAUCUUGGAGAGUGGAUGUAGGUGCAAGGUUAGCACCGAACCACUAUAAAUCCUUGUAUUUGUGGUGUGCUUUAUCUCUUCACUUUAUUUCUUUAUUAUAUUCUUGUAUUCCUGCUUUAGGUAAUUAAUAUUGAAUUAAAGUCUUUGUUUUGAUCUUCAUAAGUAAUCUGUUGGGCUUAAAAUUUUUAGAAACCCAAUUCACCCCCCCCCCUCUUGGGUUGCAUAGCUG